ACGAACGCUGGCGGCGUGCUUAACACAUGCAGGUCGAACGGAAAGGCCCUGCUUUUGUGGGGUGCUCGAGUGGCGAACGGGUGAGUAACACAUGAGUAACCUGCCCUUGACUUUGGGAUAACUUCAGGAAACUGGGGCUAAUACCGGAUAGGAGCUCCUGCUGCAUGGUGGGGGUUGGAAAGUUUCGGCGGUUGGGGAUGGACUCGCGGCUUAUCAGCUUGUUGGUGGGGUAGUGGCUUACCAAGGCUUUGACGGGUAGCCGGCCUGAGAGGGUGACCGGCCACAUUGGGACUGAGAUACGGCCCAGACUCCUACGGGAGGCAGCAGUGGGGAAUAUUGCACAAUGGGCGGAAGCCUGAUGCAGCAACGCCGCGUGCGGGAUGACGGCCUUCGGGUUGUAAACCGCUUUCGCCUGUGACGAAGCGUGAGUGACGGUAAUGGGUAAAGAAGCACCGGCUAACUACGUG
rnacentral:rRNA from 1 species